rnacentral:rRNA from 1 species
UACGGAGGGGGCUAGCGUUGUUCGGAAUUACUGGGCGUAAAGCGCACGUAGGCGGCUUUGUAAGUUAGAGGUGAAAGCCUGGGGCUCAACUCCAGAACUGCCUUUAAGACUGCAUCGCUUGAAUCAUGGAGAGGCGGGUGGAAUUCCGAGUGUAGAGGUGAAAUUCGUAGAUAUUCGGAGGAACACCAGUGGCGAAGGCGGCUCACUGGCUCGGUACUGACGCUGAGGUGCGAAAGCGUGGGGAGCAAACAGG